rnacentral:misc_RNA from 1 species
GCCCCUUCUCUGUCUCUCUCUGUUCCCCUCUAUCGCUCGACAUGGAGGUCGCCGCCGCCACUUGUACGCUCCUUGCUGCCGUCGCCCUACCAGCAUCGUCGUCCUCAGCAGCAGCACGCUCUGCGACGAAACAGAGCUACGCGAGGAGGAAGACGACGCCGCAUCAGGUGCCGCCGCCUGCCACCGCCACCGCCACCACGUACCGCGACAACUGGUUCGACAAGCUGGCCAUCGGGUACCUGUCCCGGAACCUUCAAGAAGCUUCUGGGACGAACGUCGACGAGCAGGAAGCGUGGUCGGUCGAGUAGGGAGCGGGACAGGGGUCGGGGAACGCGGACGGUGAGUACGAACUCCGGUGAGUCUCCACGGACGGCGGCGAUGGCUCUAACGGUGAGGAGAGUGAGAGAGAUGGUGGCGAGCUCGGGUAGGAAGAGAGAAGCUCGAGGUGGAAGAGAGUCCCGGAUUUUAUAGGGAGG